rnacentral:rRNA from 1 species
GACAGAGGGUGCAAACGUUGUUCGGAAUUGCUGGGCGUAAAGCGCGUGUAGGCGGCUAAGUAAGUCGGGCGUGAAAUCCCACGGCUCAACCGUGGAAGUGCACUCGAAACUGCAUAGCUAGAGUCCUGGAGAGGAAGGUGGAAUGCUUGGUGUAGAGGUGAAAUUCGUAGAUAUCAAGCGGAACACCGGUGGCGAAGGCGGCCUUCUGGACAGUGACUGACGCUGAGACGCGAAAGCGUGGGGAGCAAACAGG